GAAGAGAUUUGCAAGAUAUGCAGUGGCAUUAGCAGAAGCAGCAAGCACUUUUCCUAGUUCAUGUAUGUGAGAAUACAACGUCAAGCGU